AAGGACUUAGCUUAAUUAAAGUGCUUGAUUUGCGUUCAAGUGAUGCAGGAUAAAUCCUUGNNGUUCUUA
rnacentral:tRNA from 1 species